rnacentral:misc_RNA from 1 species
UCCGGUUUGUCACCGGCAGUCUCCCAUGAGUCCCCAACCUAAUGCUGGCAACAUGGAACGGGGGUUGCGCUCGUUGCGGGACUUAACCCAACAUCUCACGACACGAGCUGACGACAGCCAUGCAGCACCUGUGUUCCCGUUCCCUUUCGGGCACAGCCGGGUUUCCCCAGCCUCCAGGACAUGUCAAGGGUAGGUAAGGUUUUUCGCGUUGCAUCGAAUUAAUCCACAUAAUCCACCGCUUGUGCGGGUCCCCGUCAAUUCCUUUGAGUUUUAACCUUGCGGCCGUACUCCCCAGGCGGUCGACUUCACGCGUUAGCUUCGGCACAAGGGGGGUCGAUACCCCUUACACCUAGUACCCAUCGUUUACAGCGUGGACUAC